rnacentral:rRNA from 1 species
CCUACGGGUGGCAGCAGUGGGGAAUAUUGCACAAUGGGGGAAACCCUGAUGCAGCGACGCCGCGUGAGUGAAGAAGUAUCUCGGUACGUAAAGCUCUAUCAGCAGGGAAGAAAAUGACGGUACCUGACUAGCAAGCCCUGGAAAACUACGUGCCAGCAGCCGCGGUAAUACGCGGGGGGCAGGGGUUAUCCGGAUUUAUUGGUUUUAAAGGGUGUGUAGGCGGGUGUUUAAGCCGGCGGUCAAAUGUCGGGGUUCAACCCCGGCCUGCCGUCGGAACUGGGGGCCUUGAGUGGGCGAGAGGUAUGCGGAAUGCGUGGUGUAGCGGUGAAAUGCAUAGAUAUCACGCAGAACCCCGAUUGCGAAGGCAGCAUACCGGCGCCCUACUGACGCUGAGGCACGAAAGUGCGGGUAUCGAACAGGAUUAGAUACCCUGGUAGUC